rnacentral:lncRNA from 1 species
ACUAGUCAUUACAUUAACUAAAUUUCAUCAUUGAUACAAAGACAUAAUUCAUAAAUAAAUCAACAUGUAGACAUCUUAUAUGUCAGGUUCAGGACAAUUAGGUAUUUGAUAACCAACCUUUUAUGGUAAUAUACUAUACAAAACACAAAAAUGUUGUCAUUCCUCAAAGCUAACAAAACCUAGUUAUUCAGAAGGGAAAUCAACAUAUAGAUAUAAUCCCAUAAUCCUGUCCGCCAAAUUCCAC